rnacentral:rRNA from 1 species
UACGUAGGUGGCAAGCGUUGUCCGGAAUUAUUGGGCGUAAAGCGCGCGCAGGCGGUCCUUUAAGUCUGAUGUGAAAGCCCACGGCUCAACCGUGGAGGGUCAUUGGAAACUGGGGGACUUGAGUGCAGGAGAGAAGAGUGGAAUUCCACGUGUAGCGGUGAAGUGCGUAGAGAUGUGGAGGAACACCAGUGGCGAAGGCGACUCUUUGGCCUGUAACUGACGCUGAGGCGCGAAAGCGUGGGGAGCAAACAGG